rnacentral:pre_miRNA from 1 species
UGAGAACUGAAUUCCAUAGAUGGUGUUCAUGAAAAGUUCAUCUAUGGGCUCAGUUCUU